rnacentral:rRNA from 1 species
UAAGGAAUAUUGGACAAUGGAGGCAACUCUGAUCCAGCCAUGCCGCGUGAAGGAAUAAGGCCCUAUGGGUUGUAAACUUCUUUUAGACGGGACAAAACCCCUUUACGUGUAAAGGGUUGAUGGUACUGUCAGAAUAAGCAUCGGCUAACUUCGUGCCAGCAGCCGCGGUAAUAAGAAGGAUGCAAGCGUUGUUCGGAGUUACUGGGCGUAAAGAGUGCGUAGGCGGUGUUCUAAGUUCGGUGUGAAAUCUCCCGGCUUAACUGGGAGGGUGCGCCGAGGACUGGGAAGCUGGAGUGUGGGAAAGGCUGGCGGAAUUCCUGGUGUAGCGGUGAAAUGCGUAGAUAUCAGGAGGAACACCGGCGGUGUAGACGGCUUGCUAGACCAUAACUGACGCUGAGGCACGAAAGCGUGGGUAGCAAACA